UACAGAGGUCCCAAGCGUUGUUCGGAUUCAUUGGGCGUAAAGGGUGCGUAGGUGGCGCCGUAAGUCGGGUGUGAAAUUUCGGAGCUUAACUCCGAAACUGCAUUCGAUACUGCGGUGCUUGAGGACUGGAGAGGAGACUGGAAUUCAUGGUGUAGCAGUGAAAUGCGUAGAGAUCGUAAGGAAGACCAGUGGCGAAGGCGGGUCUCUGGACAGUUCCUGACACUGAGGCACGAAGGCCAGGGGAGCAAACGGG
rnacentral:rRNA from 1 species